AACAUCUCUCCUAGACUGAAAAACAGGUGUUUUUGGACUAGGCUAUUUAGUCUUAAGUCCUUCGAGGACUCCGUUAUUAAGGUGAUGACACCGGUGGAUACUCCUCUAGUCUACCGCUCUGUCGCUAGUCAUUGAACAAUCCUUAGAGUCAUGGGAUCGUGUGACUCGCUGAACAAGCCUUAAUAACUUUGACGGAGAGGAUCAA
rfam:Beggiatoa sp. IS2 Ga0073106_1156, whole genome shotgun sequence.